rnacentral:rRNA from 1 species
AUUGAACGCUGGCGGCAUGCUUUACACAUGCAAGUCGAACGGCAGCGCGGGGCAACCUGGCGGCGAGUGGCGAACGGGUGAGUAAUACAUCGGAACGUACCCAGAAGUGGGGGAUAACGUAGCGAAAGUUACGCUAAUACCGCAUACGUUCUACGGAAGAAAGUGGGGGACCUUCGGGCCUCAUGCUUUUGGAGCGGCCGAUGUCUGAUUAGCUAGUUGGUGAGGUAAAGGCUCACCAAGGCGACGAUCAGUAGCUGGUCUGAGAGGACGACCAGCCACACUGGGACUGAGACACGGCCCAGACCCCUACGGGAGGCAGCAGUGGGGAAUUUUGGACAAUGGGCGCAAGCCUGAUCCAGCAAUGCCGCGUGAGUGAAGAAGGCCUUCGGGUUGUAAAGCUCUUUUGUCAGGGAAGAAACGGCUGAGGAUAAUACCUUCGGCUAAUGACGGUACCUGAAGAAUAAGCACCGGCUAACUACG